ACACCAGCCUAGGCUAAGGUACAGUUAGAAAGAAUAGCAGUUUCAUUGGAAGGAACUGACAGAAAACAACCCUUCAUGUGAGCUUCACUGGGAGAAAGACUCUGGAUGACAGGCCUUCAUGAUUGGAAUUUGAAGUGGCAGAACAUUAGAUCCGAGCUGAGACUGUAGUCAAGGACAUAGCAGAAAGAAGAGGGAAGAGAAGCCAGGAGGAAAUCUGGACAGCUCUGACACGGAGGACGGAGUCCUGGUGUCAGCCGCCCCAAGCCGAGAACUCGAGUCUCAUGGUUAGUUGGUAGAGACAGUAAAGAGAAACUAUCAAAGCUGUCCAAGACGUGACUGAGCGACCCAACACGCUUCUCAGAUGGAACUUGGGAAAUGGGGGCUGGGUGUUGUUCCCUCAAAGUAGCUGCUGACCCCAUCUUACUGACCAACAAUGGAAAACAGCAAGGGGAGCUAUUCAGGGAGAAGGACACCUGCAGAGUGGGGAGGGGGACCUUGUGCACAUAGAAAAACACUGGAGAAGCCAGGAAAGUUACACACACAGCUUACCUCUUCAGUGGACUGGAAGGCCAGGAGUGGUGGAAUCAGCCUGUGGUCCUUUGCUGUCUGUUUUAAGGUCUCAGUAAUCUGAAAGCUGCUGGAAACAUCGGGCUCCCAGCAGUGAAGAGAUGCUGGCCUCCUGGGUACAGACCAAGUUUCCAUUUCUGUGAAAACGAUGGUGUGAUCCCUGGAGCUGUAGCAGCUUGCUUGAGGCAGCCCUCCCAUUAACCAGAAAGUACCAGGAGACUGCGGUGAUAAGGAGACCCACCACCAACUGCUUCCUUCUAGCCUUGAGAGAUGAAAAGGCUUCCUGAAGCAUCUGAUGCCCACGAGCCGAGCCGAGCCGCGGGACCCAGUUGCUGUGGGAGAAGAAAGGGUGAUGUGGGCAUGGCUCUAGUGUUUUCCUGAAGACAGCACUAAAACAAACCGAACAAAACAAACAAACUAAACUAAAAACCUAUAGCAAUCUUAAAAGCCAAGACAGAGCUAAAUGACAAGGCAGUGUUUGGUUUCAGGCCCCGGUACAAGGGACUGAGGUGCACAGUUAACACAGCAAAGCAGAUCAGGCCUCUAGGCCCACCUAGCAUCCCUCAGUCCCCGUGUGCCUUACCUGGACCCCAACCCUAAACUUUCCAGCCCAGGGGCUGGGAUGCCCUUCCCCCAGGGGCUCCUCCCUAUAUAAUCCCCUCCUAGAGGCUCUUCCCCCUAAUCCAGACAUUUUGUGCUCUCUCUCUCUCUCUCUCUCUCUCUCUCUCUCUCUCUCUCUCUCUCUUUCUCUCUCUCUCUCUCCCUCCCUCUCUCCCUCCCUCCCUCCCUGUCUCCCUCUCCCUGUUGCUCCUUCUCUCCCUCCCUCUCUCUCUCUCCCUUCCCAUGGAGACAUCCCUGGCCUCCUUUCUUGGUACCAGUGAACUCACCCAAGAGCAGCUUCCCACUAAACCUACGUUUAGUAUAAUCUAAUCUGGUUUGAAUUGUCUCAUUUCAUCAUUGGAGAAAUAACCUAUCAGGAAGCAUGGAAGAAAAAAACUAAACAAAACUAGAGGCCUCAAGAAUUUUAUUCUUUUUAAAGGAAAACUGAGACAUCAAUGCUUCCAAAUGAACAUACCUGCAGCCUCUUCAAGAACAGCUGGGUGGCUGACGUUGUCUGUCAGGAAUAUGGCCUUGGAGUUUCUCACUUGUCAGAACCUUGGGGAUUUUAGAACCUUGGAUUUAUUUUUACCUCAUGAAUACUGUAAGUCCACUCGGGAUUGGAAUGACAGGUGACUGAGCUGCCUCGUGUUGGUGCUGGAAACCCAACCCAGGUCCCCUGAAAAAACACUAAGUACUCACAACAACUGAACUAUCUCUCCAACCCCAACUAAAUAUAGUUUUAAGCAGGAUUUGAAUAUUCAUGAGAACUCAAUUUGUUACAUAUAAGAGCCAAGUUUGUUACAAGCGUUACUUCAGCUAUAGAAAGAUUUUUUUUCCUCCUAGAUUUGAAAACAUUGCCUUAUCAGGCAUU
rnacentral:lncRNA from 1 species